rnacentral:rRNA from 1 species
GAUGAACGCUAGCGACAGGCUUAACACAUGCAAGUCGAGGGGUAACAGGGUAGCAAUACCGCUGACGACCGGCGCACGGGUGAGUAACGCGUAUGCAACCUGCCUAUAACUGGGGAAUAGCUCCCUGAAAGGGGAAUUAACACCGCAUAACACUAUUGAUUCGCAUGGAUUGGUAGUUAAAUGUAGCGAUACAGGUUAUAGAUGGGCAUGCGUGACAUUAGCUAGUUGGUGAGGUAACGGCUCACCAAGCCCACGAUGGAUAGGGGAACUGAGAGGUUGGUCCCCCACACUGGUACUGAGACACGGACCAGACUCCUACGGGAGGCAGCAGUGAGGAAUAUUGGUCAAUGGGCGAGAGCCUGAACCAGCCAAGUCGCGUGAAGGAAGAAGGAUCUAUGGUUCGUAAACUUCUUUUGCAGGGGAAUAAAGUGCAGGACGUGUCCUGUUUUGUAUGUACCCUGAGAAUAAGGAUCGGCUAACUCCGUGCC